GUAACUGAAGUGUCUAAAAGUUUUUGUUGAGUGUAUUUGAUUUUCUUCCAACAGUUACUCCCAUUUGGAUUCAGUUGGCAUGCCAAGUUUCCGAAAUGGGUGCAAUUUUGCAGCUGGAGGGGCUACUACACUUCCAGCAACUGCAACAACUGUCUGCCCCUUUUCAUUUGGGAUUCAGGUCUCUCAGUUUUCGCAAUUCAAAGCCCAGGCUCUUCAAUUGCUAGCUGCUAAAGCGACAGCUCCUCAAAUGAGAUGCCAAACAAGCUGUUUCCUGCCGCCAAUUAGGCAACUGACAUGACAGAAUCAACCGAGGACACUUCUGAGGAGUUAAUGUAAAGUAGUUGGUUCUAACUGCAAACAUAUAAAAUUUUUGCUCGAGUCUAAUCAUAUUUUGCUAAAGUAGUUGGUUAGCAUCUCUUAUUUUGAAAUUCGUAAAUACACAUCUGGUCAAGAUACCAGAUUUUGGAAUCUGUAACACGAUACUAUCUUCCAUUAUAUAAUACAUCUAAUGUUUGUAA